UACGUAGGGUGCGAGCGUUACUCGGAAUUACUGGGCGUAAAGCGUGCGCAGGCGGUUUUGUAAGCCAGAUGUGAAAUCCCCGGGCUUAACCUGGGAAUGGCAUUUGGGACUGCAAGGCUUGAGUGCGGCAGAGGAGACUGGAAUUCCUGGUGUAGCAGUGAAAUGCGUAGAUAUCAGGAGGAACACCGGUGGCGAAGGCGGGUCUCUGGGCCGAUACUGACGCUGAGGAGCGAAAGCGUGGGGAGCGAACAGG
rnacentral:rRNA from 1 species